ACGGGGGGGGCAAGCGUUGUUCGGAAUUACUGGGCGUAAAGGGCGCGUAGGCGGCACGGCAAGUCAGGAGUGAAAGCCCUGGGCUCAACCCGGGAACUGCUUUUGAAACUGCCGAGCUAGAGUGCGGAAGGGGCAACUGGAAUUCCCAGUGUAGCGGUGAAAUGCGUAGAUAUUGGGAAGAACACCUGAGGCGAAGGCGGGUUGCUGGGCCGACACUGACGCUGAGGCGCGAAAGCCAGGGGAGCGAACGGGA
rnacentral:rRNA from 1 species